GGAAAUUUUUGGUGGUAAUUGAAGAGGACAUUGUGGGCUUUCCAAUGGUAUCAAAAUUAGAUAGUUUUGAUGGUCGAAAGUUGUCGAAAAAUUUCCUUAAAAGUCGCCCAAAAAAUCUGAAAAUCUGGGCAGAUUUUCAGAAUUUUUGGGCGACUUUUAAGGUAAUUUUUCGAUCGAAUCCCUUGGAGUUAUAAUGAGAUUUUGGGUGGUAAUUGAAGAGGACAUCGUGGGCUUUCCAACGGUAUCAAAAUUCGACAUUCUUUGUGGUCGAAAGUUGUCGAAAAUUUGCCGUAAAAGUCGCCCAAUUAUUUGAAGAGACGAG
rnacentral:lncRNA from 1 species